rnacentral:rRNA from 1 species
UAGGCGGGGCGUCAAGCCAGUGGUGAAAGUCGGCAGCUCAACUGUCGGAUUGCCGUUGGAACUGUAGCCCUUGAGUUGUCGUGAAGUGGUUGGAACGUGCAGUGUAGCGGUGAAAUGCAUAGAUAUUGCACAGAACGCCGAUUGCGAAGGCAGGCCACUAACGACAUACUGACGCUGAGGGACAAAAGCGUGGGUAGCGAACGGGAUUAGAUACCCCGGUAGUCCACGCCGUAAACGAUGGUCACUAGCUGCCCGUCCCGAACUUGUUUGGGAUGGGUGGCCAAGCGAAAGUGAUAAGUGACCCACCUGGGGAGUACGUUCGCAAGAAUGAAACUCAAAGGAAUUGACGGGGGCCCGCACAAGCGGUGGAGCAUGUGGUUUAAUUCGAUGAUACGCGAGGAACCUUACCAGGGCUUAAAUGGGGAGUGACAGAGGUGGAAACACCUUUUUCUUCGGACACUCUUCAAGGUGCUGCAUGGUUGUCGUCAGCUCGUGCCGUGAGGUGUCAGGUUAAGUCCUAUAACGAGCGCAACCCCUGUGGUCAGUUGCCAGCACAUAAUGGUGGGAACUCUGGCCAGACUGCCGGUGCGAACCGUGAGGAAGGUGGGGACGACGUCAAAUCAUCACGGCCCUUACGUCCUGGGCUACACACGUGCUACAAUGGCCGGCACAGAGGGCAGCCACCCCGCAAGGGGGCGCUAAUCCCAAAAGCCGGUCACAGUUCGGAUCGGGGUCUGCAACUCGACCCCGUGAAGCUGGAAUCGCUAGU